rnacentral:rRNA from 1 species
GACGAACGCUGGCGGCGUGCUUAACACAUGCAAGUCGAACGGAAAGGCCCCUUUGGGGGUACUCGAGUGGCGAACGGGUGAGUAACACGUGAGUAACCUGCCCUUGACUUCGGGAUAACUUCAGGAAACUGGGGCUAAUACCGGAUAGGAAUCCUUGCUGCAUGGUGGGGGUUGGAAAGCUUCGGCGGUUUUGGAUGGACUCGCGGCUUAUCAGCUUGUUGGUGGGGUAGUGGCUUACCAAGGCUUUGACGGGUAGCCGGCCUGAGAGGGCGACCGGCCACAUUGGGACUGAGAUACGGCCCAGACUCCUACGGGAGGCAGCAGUGGGGAAUAUUGCACAAUGGGCGGAGGCCUGAUGCAGCAACGCCGCGUGCGGGAUGACGGCCUUCGGGUUGUAAACCGCGUUCAGCAGGGGCGAAGCUUGUGGUGACGGUACCUGCAGAAGAAGCACCGGCUAACUACGUG